GGGAAGGUGGCUCAGUGGUAGAGCGCUUGCCUUGCAUGCCUGAGGCCCUGGGUUCAA
rnacentral:tRNA from 1 species